GAUGAACGCUGGCGGCGUGCCUAAUACAUGCAAGUCGAGCGAACGGACGAGAAGCUUGCUUCUCUGAUGUUAGCGGCGGACGGGUGAGUAACACGUGGAUAACCUACCUAUAAGACUGGGAUAACUUCGGGAAACCGUAGCUAAUACCGGAUAAUAUUUUGAACCGCAUGGUUCAAAAGUGAAAGACGGUCUUGCUGUCACUUAUAGAUGGAUCCGCGCUGCAUUAGCUAGUUGGUAAGGUAACGGCUUACCAAGGCAACGAUGCAUAGCCGACCUGAGAGGGUGAUCGGCCACACUGGAACUGAGACACGGUCCAGACUCCUACGGGAGGCAGCAGUAGGGAAUCUUCCGCAAUGGGCGAAAGCCUGACGGAGCAACGCCGCGUGAGUGAUGAAGGUCUUCGGAUCGUAAAACUCUGUUAUUAGGGAAGAACAUAUGUGUAAGUAACUGUGCACAUCUUGACGGUACCUAAUCAGAAAGCCACAGCUAACUACAUG
rnacentral:rRNA from 1 species